GGCCUUGUGGUGUAAUGGUUAGCACACUGGACUUUGAAUCCCAGGAAUCCGAGUUCGAUUCUCGGUGAGGCCA